CCACACAUAAUUCAGGCUGUAAGAAGGUGACUAUCGGGUUUGAAUCCAUGACUCCAUGAUGAAUACACAUGUAGUUAUGAGAGACGGGCGAGUGCUGUCAAGGGCUGAGUUCUUGUCAUUGCUGAACACGUACAACUGUUUUCUGAAAGACAAGACACAGCAGCAUCUUGUCUUCUAUGAGGUAGGUUGACCUUCGCUGCUCCGUUGAAUUAUUUACAUGUUUUAUUUGCACCAAAGAAGAAGAACAAGUAAUAAAAACAAAUCAAAUAUUUACUCAUAUUUACUACUUCGAAAUCAAACUUCUGCAGUUUACAUUUUAGUUAAAGUUUAAUUUAU
rnacentral:lncRNA from 1 species